rnacentral:lncRNA from 1 species
AGACCCCUGAGGCUCUCAGAAUGUUCACCUGCAUCUGCACUCCUCCCCCAGUGUGGCUCGUCCUCAGAAGCCUGCCAACUCUAUGGGUGCUGUCCCUGGGAAAUCCAAUUUUCUCCAUCUUGCUGCGUUUCCAGGCUUCAUGCCCUUUGCUGUGAUAAUGCUAUUAAGAGGAAGUGAGCCCAUGAGGACACUAAUUUCAUUCAUCCAAGCUGUUAGGAAGGAAGUAUGGGGCCACCUUGAAGAAAAUAGAUUUACACACACACACACACACACACACACACAAACACAUAUUCGGCUUAUAUGUAUCCAUGUGCACCACAUGCAUGCUUGCUGUCUGAAGAGGUUAGAAGAGGGUGUUUGAUCUUCUGGAACUGGAGUUAUAGAUGCUUCUGAGCUAGCAACUGAACCCAGAUCCUCUUCUAAAGCAGCAAGUGCUCCUAACCACUGAGCCAUCUCUCUAGCCCUCCUACAGCUCCUUGAUAAAUUGUUCUCUUUUGUUUCGUAUUGGGCUUCUUUAUCCUUUCUGACUAUUUUUUUCCUUGAAAUAUACUUUUUUAAAAGAUAUAAGAACAAAUA